rnacentral:rRNA from 1 species
GACGAACGCUGGCGGCGUGCUUAACACAUGCAAGUCGAACGGAGUGGCGAACGGGUGAGUAUUACGUGAGUAACCUGCCCUCAACUGUGGGAUAAGCCUGGGAAACUGGUUCUAAUACUGCAUAGUUGGGGAUGGGCUCGCGGCCUAUCAGCUUGUUGGUGGGGUGAUGGCCUACCAAGGCGGUGACGGGUAGCCGGCCUGAGAGGGUGGUUGGGAACGUUGGGAGUGAGAUACGGCCAAGAGUGCUACGGGUGGGAGAAGUGGGGGAUAUGGCACAAGGGGCGCAAGGCUGAUGCGGGGACGCCGCGUGAGGGAUGAAGUUUUACGGGUUGUAAGGCGCUGUCGGUACAGAACGGGUAUGUGCAGAAUAAGCGCCGGCUAACUACGUGCCAGCAGCCGCGGUAAUAC